AAACGCUCUAACACCAAACCGGGACAACUAACUUACUGACCGGGAUACCGGGACACAACGCUUCAGACCGGGACAUGUCCCGGUGUACCGGGACGUAUGGCAGCCCUACCGUAGCGAGGAAAUGGCUGCCACCAUUUCCUCAAACUUCCUUUGCUUUGA